AAGCUCCCUUAUUGAUCGUUGGUCAUUUUGGUUCGACUGAAGCUCCAUUUUUCUUCUAUUUUUUUUUUUGACCUUUUCCUUCUAUUUGACGUCGGUCAGAGGCACCUUCAUCUGCGCGAAUAUACUUAUAUGCGUGCUCCAAAAGUUCAUCAUAAAUUUGAGGAUGAGUUUUAUCCAGAGAGUAAGUAAACCUGAAUCUUUUCAGACCUCUUUUUAUGACCGAGAUGGCCAUAUCUUCGUUGAGAUCUCUGACCUCAAGUAUGGCAGUGUUAAAGUGG
rnacentral:lncRNA from 1 species